rfam:Scleropages formosus scaffold1403, whole genome shotgun sequence.
UCACAGGCUGUCUUUACAGCCACCCUAGAAAAAUAUACACGUUGCGU